rnacentral:rRNA from 1 species
ACGAACGCUGGCGGCGUGCUUCACCCAUGCUAGUCGCACGGAAAGGCCCUGCUUUUGUGGGGUGCUCGAGUGGCGAACGGGUGAGUAACACGUGAGUAACCUGCCCUUGACUUUGGGAUAACUUCAGGAAACUGGGGCUAAUACCGGAUAGGAGCUCCUGCUGCAUGGUGGGGGUUGGAAAGUUUCGGCGGUUGGGGAUGGACUCGCGGCUUAUCAGCUUGUUGGUGGGGUAGUGGCUUACCAAGGCUUUGACGGGUAGCCGGCCUGAGAGGGUGACCGGCCACAUUGGGACUGAGAUACGGCCCAGACUCCUACGGGAGGCAGCAGUGGGGAAUAUUGCACAAUGGGCGGAAGCCUGAUGCAGCAACGCCGCGUGCGGGAUGACGGCCUUCGGGUUGUAAACCGCUUUCGCCUGUGACGAAGCGUGAGUGACGGUAAUGGGUAAAGAAGCACCGGCUAACUACGUG